UUCCUUUACUUUAGAAAAAAUGCAGACAGUGGUAUCUCUGUGUCCUCCCUCACAACUGUUUUCUCAGACUGUAAGACAGAAAAGUUAUAAAGGCUCUUGGGUAAGAUAAUUCCCAUCUAAUACAAAGUUAAGCAUAUUUUACAGUAUUUACAGAGCUAGGUGUUAAAGCAUUUGGUGUCUUUUUAGUUCUGUGAAUGGUGUCUUUGGAUGCAUCUGGUUAGUUUAAACUAUUUCUAGAGUGAUAUAAUUGACUUCUGCAAUCAAAGAGAGAUUCAGUAGCUCUAACAGAUUUUUCAGACAGACAUCUGAGAGUAUUAGCAUGUUAAAAUGCAAAUGGAUAUUUUAAUAGUUUUUCCCUUUUUUAUUGGUCUUGCCUUCCUAGGCUGAGAAUUUUAAUUGAUUAUUUUUCCUAGUAAAUAUAAAGACUACCUGUUAUAUAAAGAAUCACUGAGUUUAGGAACUCACAGACAGAAUUGCUUCUGGGAGUCCCUUGGAUCUUAUGCUGCUUUUUUUUUUCUUUGUCAAGUAGGAAACUUUCAAAGACUAUGUGCUUUCUUUGAGUUUUUUAACUGUAAAAAGUCCACUGUAGAGUUAUGCAAGCCAGCCAGUUGUGUCUACUAAAAUGUAAAAGUAAAACUCAUAUUCCUUAUAUCAGUUAGAUUGAAAAUCUAUUACUUGAAUUCUGAUGUUAUACUAUAUGGAACCAUGGUGAUAUGGACAUUUUAUAUUUAAAUAUGACUAGAAUCUUUGUAGUCUUUAUAAAAGCAAAAUUUACACACACACACACACACACACACACACACACACACACACACUUGCACACAAAUAUCCAAACUAUAGUAUUCUUUCUGAAGACCAAAAAUCAUUAUUCAUAUUUUAUAAGCCAUAUCAAGGUGAAUAUUAUUUACAGUUCUUAGAUAUAUAUAGGAAGGGUUAUUUUGGAUAUAGGAAAUAGAAUGUGUUUUAGUAUUGUAUGUAUUACUAUUAAACACAGGCUCCAAUAACUAAAACUUUCCCUGGAAAUCUGUAUUUGGAGGGAAUUUAUUGAUUGGUAUGUAGAAAUAUUUUCAAUAUGCUGAUACAAAAUGAUAAUCAAUAAUAUGUGAUUAUAUAGCUAAAAUUAAAAAUGAAAAGCCAUGUUUUAUGGGCAUGUACUGUCAAGAGUAUAUGUAGUAGCAGUAGGAUGCCAUUUCUGUGGUUGAAGAGGGGCAACUAUCACCCAGAAGGCAAAGUACAUUGAUAGGAAAAGAACACAUAGUUUAGGGCUUGUCUAAAUUUCAGGUGAUUUUUCCUUCUUUUCCUAUACUUACAGUACAUUUUAAAUCUACAAAUACUGAUGGGCAGCGACAAAGAUAAGCAGUUAUGCACCUUGGCAUUUUCUGAAAACCUUCAUCUUCAGGAUAUGGGCUUAAAUAGCACUCUGAUCUUUGUCUUGAAAUGUAAGGAAAGCAGUCACACAGUGUCAGGGCCUCCCUAGUUCAUCUCAGAGUGGAUCUUCUCUUUCUACACAUAAUAUCAUGGCUUAUCUUACCUGACUGCCGUAGAAGUCUCUGGUACCUUCUCUAUAUGAUACCUUGGGGUAAUAUUGCUCUGUUAGCUGUAUACACCACAUGCCAUCUCCUCUGUUGUUCUGCUCUUUCGUGCUCUGUGACUAAGGUGGUCAUUCUUUCCUUUCCUUAGUCUUGACAAACGCAAAUCACCCGGGUUCAAGAAGUCUGCAUGUCUGAACUUAAUUUUGACGAUAUCCCUUGAGUUGAGUAGGUUUUUUUUUUUUUUUAAUGUUUUAUGGGGGAAAAGGGAGAAUGUAGAUAAUUCUACAGGGAAAUUUCAGAAAUUGAGAAAAAUCAACAACCUAUAUAAUUGAAGGAAAAAAGAAUUAUAUUCAAUUUCCUAAGUAAAAAGGUAAAAGGAAUGCAUGUGAUUUACUUUUUUUAAAGGCGUACUCUACAGAAAGUUAAUUUGGUAACAGAAGCAUCUAAACUAGAGUAGAGAGAUCCAGAAUGAGCCAGAGUUCAAAUAAAAGUUACAUGGUUUUUACUAAAAUUCUAAGUGGUAUUUAUCUGUGAAGAGUUGCUCUCCUGUGUUGACUAAGGAAGAAAAGCUUUGGUGUUCUCCAGAACAUUGGUCCCAUAUGUGAAUAUAAGAGGCAAACAUAAAGUAGUGACUUUUCAUCUACACUAUAGCACAGAUUUGUUUGGACUAAUACAGAACUGACCACUUCCAAAAACUUUGAGACAUGGAAUCAUUAAGAAGCCUAUACAAAGCACAAUAUUUGCACUUUAUAAUAAAUCCAAUGCAACUCAAAAUUCUAAAAUGUCAAGAUGACUUUGGCUUUGGUUUGUGGGUUGUUAAAAUGGACGACAACAGGCUCAAAUGACUGGUGAAUUUCAUUGAUCAGGCUAUACUUUGGAAGAUUCACAUAAAUUUGUCUCCAAUUGUUCAGGUCAUCUAACAUAAUUUCUGUACAUAGAAGU
rnacentral:lncRNA from 1 species